GACGAACGCUGGCGGCGUGCUUAACGCAUGCAAGUCGAACGGUAAGGCCCUUCGGGGUACACGAGUGGCGAACGGGUGAGUAACACGUGGGUGAUCUGCCCUGCACUUCGGGAUAAGCCUGGGAAACUGGGUCUAAUACCGGAUAGGACCACUGCCUGCAUGGGUGGUGGUGGAAAGCUUUUGCGGUGUGGGAUGGGCCCGCGGCCUAUCAGCUUGUUGGUGGGGUGAUGGCCUACCAAGGCGACGACGGGUAGCCGGCCUGAGAGGGUGACCGGGAACACUGGGACUGAGAUACGGCCCAGACUCCUACGGGAGGCAGCAGUGGGGAAUAUUGCACAGUGGGCGCAAGCCUGAUGCAGCGACGCCGCGUGAGGGAUGACGGCCUUCGGGUUGUAAACCUCUUUCAGCACCGACGAAGCGCAAGUGACGGUAGGUGCAGAAGAAGGACCGGCCAACUACGUGCCAGCCGCCGCGGUAA
rnacentral:rRNA from 1 species